rnacentral:rRNA from 1 species
AACGAACGCUGGCGGCAUGCCUAACACAUGCAAGUCGAACGGGAUCCUGGCUUCGGCCAGGUGAGAGUGGCGGACGGGUGAGUAACGCGUGGGAACCUGCCCAUUGGUCUGGGAUAACUGCGGGAAACUGCAGCUAAUACCGGAUGUACCCGAGAGGGGAAAGAUUUAUCGCCGAUGGAGGGGCCCGCGUCAGAUUAGGUAGUUGGUGAGGUAACGGCUCACCAAGCCUACGAUCUGUAGCUGGUCUGAGAGGAUGAUCAGCCACACUGGGACUGAGAUACGGCCCAGACUCCUACGGGAGGCAGCAGUGGGGAAUAUUGGACAAUGGGGGCAACCCUGAUCCAGCAAUGCCGCGUGAGUGAUGAAGGCCUUAGGGUUGUAGAGCUCUUUUACCAGGGACGAUGAUGACGGUACCUGGAGAAUAAGCCCCGGCUAACUUCGUGCCAGCAGCCGCGGUAAU